AUGAAGGGUGAAUCAAAUUCACUUUAUAAAACUCCCAUUGUAAUCUCAUUUGUUUAAUUAUUGAAUGUUUUGGAAGCUAAUUAUGGUAUUUUAUUUUCCUUAAGGAGCAAAAACUUGUUGCUGCCUCCGCAUCUCCUCCACCAGUUGGCCUACCGCUUAGCCUCAAACUUGUUAAGGAGAAUUUCACUUCUCCAAAAGAAUAUUAUCAAAUAAUGAAGCCGCUCCUACAUCAUGAGGUCUGGGCAUCAGUAUCGCAAGCAUAUGAUCGCUCAUUUUCCCUCGGACAAGUUGACAAAUCUCACUCAUUAGGAGACAAGUAAGCUUUUCAGAAGACUCGCAGUAGGAUAUGAAAACUUAGAACUCUGUCAUAAUUUAGAAAGGUCGUGGAGGGGGACCUCUAAAAUCUCCCUUCCAUGUUCUUUUUUUCCUAAUUUGCCUCGAGUGCAGGAAACGAAUUUUUUUCACUGUUUGAUCAAGAAACAUGUCGCAUGAGCAAAUAUGCUAUCAAUUUUUAUUUCCGCCAUUACAUAUAGAAGGUUGUAGCAAAUAAUGAUUUCACUUGGUAUUUUCUGAAUGCACGAGCCUUAUUGAUUACUUUCUACCAAGUUUCUUCUCAUCAGCUAUAAUUUAAGUAUGCCAAUGAAUGGCUGCAUCAUUCAAGAAAUAUAAACUCUUAGGUUCAAACCAUUAUGCAAAAAAAAAAAAAAAACCACACAAAAAAAUGAAGAACAAUUCUCGUUUGAUGCUCCUAAAAUAAAUUGGUAUCUACUCAUUGGUUUAAAUGUAGGCAAAAGUGACUGUGCAACUGGACCAUUUGGCAAAUCUAAUCUUGUUUCUAUUUUUGUGCCAAAAUAUUGUCAGAUUUUACAAUUAUUUUUUUGUUUUUGUUAGAUGUACUUUCGGAUUCAUGAUUGAAAGUUGCUCUGUGAAAGAUGUGCCUCAAACGACUAAGAGGUAUCUACAACUCAAUUGCAAUGUUGUCCUGUUUGAAGAAGAUAUUAGGAACAAUAAUUGUCCACGAAAGGAUGAUCUUGUGAUCGUCCGCUUGAAAUUUCAUACCACUGAAAGUUACAAGAAAGCUCCGGACAUGUAUUUUGGCCUUGUGGUGUUUGACAGAAGAUUUUCAAAAUUUUCUGAAAGUCACAGUAUAGCACUUCAGCCUUUAAUAGCCUCCAAAACAAAGAAGGGCAAACCUUGCGCCGUUCUCCUCUUGAAGGUCCUUUUAAAUUAUGGUAAUUUUCUAUGGGACAAGAAAAUUGUCACAGAUGUAGCACUAGAAAUGAAGGCAAGUACUUUAGGGCAAUUUCCACAUUCAGUUUCAAAUAUAGUUUUUGCUUUUUUUAGAUGGUACAAAUAAUCAUGCUACCGAUAUGUAAAGUGUAAGCCUUGAUUGCAACUCAACCCACUGCAAGAUGCUCGGAUGGUGCGUUUGCGUUGUUGACUAACUUAGAUGCAUCCAUUCGCGUCAUGCACCUAAUGAGGGGAUCAGGGCUUACAGGGUGUCUACUAGUCCGGAAAUAGUACUGGUUUUUAAGAGCAGUCCAGAAGUACUGGAAAAAUGGAGAAAUUCCGCAAGGUCUGG
rnacentral:lncRNA from 1 species